AGCUCUCCGAGUGGUGUGGAUGUUUAUUGGGCCUAAAGCAUCCGUAGCUGGCUGAGUUAGUCCCUUGUUAAAUCCACCGAAUUAAUCGUUGGAUUGCGGGGAUACUGCUCGGCUAGGGGACGAGAGAGGCAGACGGUAUUUCCGGGGUAGGGGUGAAAUCCUAUAAUCCCGGGAAGACCACCAGUGGCGAAGGCUGUCUGCUAGAACGCGCCCGACGGUGAGGGAUGAAAGCUGGGGGAGCGAACC
rnacentral:rRNA from 1 species